rnacentral:tRNA from 1 species
GCACUCAUAGCUCAAUCGGAUAGAGCAUCUGACUUCGGAUCAGAGGGUUGCGGGUUCAAUUCCUGUUGAGUGCACCA